ACCUCCUGCAGGGCGGAGGAUAAGGCUCCUUCCAGGAGGGGCCCAUCUCGCCUGGCUUUCUGCAGCGCCCAGGCCCUCAGAUCACAGACGUUUUGAUGAGGCCUCAGUGGCAGUGUAAGUUCAGAUCUUCAGGUAGAUCCCGGUUCUAACUCGUUUAUUUAUUCAUUCAACAAACACUCACCACUUACUGUGUGCCAAGUACUGCCCCAAGUAUUGGUAUAAGAAGAUGAGUAUGACACAGUGCCAGCCGCCAAGGAGCUCACCAUCUACCUGGGGAGACAAAUAGGGUACCAUGCACAAGGUAAGUGCAAUACCAGAAGUAUGCACAGGAGAAGCCUCUAAUACACACUUCAAGGUUCAGCAAAUACUUCCUGGAGUUGUUGGUGCCUGAGCUAAAUUCUAGAGAAAUAGAAGCUUGUCAGGUUAAGUGGAGAUUAUUGUUGGGUGGGGUGCUUGGAGGGCAGGGCAGGUAUUCCUGGUGAAGAAGAGAAAGAGUACAGUGCACUCAGAGAACUCUGCAGCUCCUGGCUUCUGAACUCAGAUUCCAAAGAAAAGGGAGAUCUUGAGUAGGAGUUUGGAAAAAGAGAGAAAACUCAAUUGGUAGGAUGAAAUUUCUUUCCUGAACGGGCCCUCGAAGGCAAAAGCAACAAAAUUAUAUAAGGGGCACAGCAAAUGAAUUGGAGUGGAGAGGCCUUGGCCAGAUCAGCGGGUGGAAAAGGGUGGAAGGGUUUGUGAUCUGCUCCCUUUCUCAGAUCCUUCCCUGUGGGUUAUAGGAGAACAUUUACAUCUCCCAAACAUAUAUUUGCUGAAAAAAAGCAUUAGAAUAAAGGGAAUAAGAAAACAGGACAUCAAAUGAAACUAGGUCAUUGAUGAGCAUGCAGUGCAUGUGGGUUGAGUGUGAGCAUGUCAUCUCCCAGAGGGCAGAAUGUUGAGAUGUGUGUCAGAAGCAGAGGCCCCUAUGGUGUGUGAAGCCAAUAUGAAUCUAAUAAUUUUCUCAGCUAUCUGCUCACUGCCCAGAGAGGACAUGGUGAGCAUCACCUGGGAAAAAGGCUCCUGGCACUGUAGGGGUUAGAUGGGCAUCUCAAAACCAGCAGGGAUUUCUUUUCUGAUACAUUUCCUGUUAUAAUUCAGCAUUAGUUAGGGUUCUUGGUUGUAAAGAAAAGAAACCAACUUGAUUAACUUAAGCAGAAAAUGAAUUUAUUGGAAGGGUAUUUGGUAGCUGUUGAAAUCUAUGGGAAGAUUAGUGAGUCAGUCUUGGGCACACACCAACGGAGACAAGGCUCUGCCAAAAUCCUACCAUGGGAGGAGCCGUGGGCUUAGGAUGCUGCUUCUGAUGUCACGCUUUUGGACACUACUGCCCCUAGAAAUGGGCCAUCACAAGAAGGGCCUCUUCGUAAUCUCUAACUGAUCCUUGGCUUUUAACUCAGACUUAAACUUUGUGUGGAAGCCUCUGAUUUGGCACACUUAGGUCAUUUACCCUUUGUCUAGCUACCAGGGAACAGGAACUAAGAAGCCCCUUUAGCUUCCAUAAGAAGGAGGCCUGUCUUCUGCCUAACUUGGAAUUCCUUCCCCCAGUAGGAGAGCGUUUGGAUGCUGGGUGGCCCCAAAUGACAAAUAUCUACCAUGUUCUUUGACAUUCCAGGCCUAGCUUUCAAAGACUCUUGCUCUCCAAAGCUGCUCUCCUCUGUUUUGUAGCAAUUCUGAGGUCUGAGGGACUAAGGAGUUUUCUCGGUCACUCUUGGGAGUGCCCGUCUCUUGAAUUCUUGAUUGGUCUCUUCCAGCUCCUUCCCUGAAGAUUGGAUACCAUUUCUCUUUGAGUGAAAAGAGAUACAACUGCCUAACUAUAAACAGGAUUCUCUCUUCUUCCAAGAGAUGUCUACCAACGGCCUCUCCCUCCCCUAUACUGCGUACAUCAGAGACCUUCAGCCCUUGAUUGUGGAUCGCCUGAUGUCUUCUCUGCUGCCUCCUUCUGUACUUGUGGCACCUACUGGCAGUUUUGGUUUGUGGAGGACACACGUGGGACCUCUCUCUCACACUCUCCUGGGGGUGGAAAUGGCAGAUCCCCUCCUGGGCAGGGUGGCCCCAUUGAGGUUGAUUCUGGGGUGAGAGCCAACUUCUCUGCCUGCUGCGUAUAACUCCAACUCCGGGUCCAAAUUGGGCACAUUAUUUUGGGUACCAGGAGAACAUUCGUUGACGUGUGCCGUUCCACUAGGCAUCUCUGGGCACUUUUUCUCCAGAAGAGUAGCACUAAAUUAAAAUUCUAACUCAAGUUUACAGGCUGAUGAGUAGGAAGGCUGGGGGAGCAGGAAAGGGAGCCGAGCAGAGGGCAGACGGCAGAUGGUGUUGCGCGGCCACCUUGAUUGGUUUGGCCACAAGACAAUGCGGAAGGAUGAUUUACUAGGUGCUUCCUUCACCUUGCAUGGAUGAUACAGGCAGAUGAUGGAAUGUACUUUUGCUUUUUUUUUUCUGUAACAGAAUGCCUUUGGCAGGGAUACUUCCCAGUUAUUAAAAAUGGGGCAAUGAGGUGAGCUCUAAAUGCAAACCCCGUGUAGGAAAAUCCAGAAGAAAUAAGGAUAAGAAGAUGGAGAAAGGAAAGAUUAAAAGUCAGUGAAGAGAAGAAUAAAGAAAGAUUGUUGCAAUGGGAUGGGAAAGAUGGGAAGUUCAGAAAAGUGACAAAACACCAGUGAGGGAAUCAGAGAAAGCACAGGAGUGACCUUGCUCUCUGGUCCCCCUCCCCCGAAAAAGAGAGGCGGUUGGGGGAGGGGUGAUGGGGAGAUGAAAUUUUAUAGGUCAAUGGAAGAAACAGCAAGAAUGAGAAAAAGGAGUUUAGGGAUUUUAGGUCAUUGGACACCCCUGAAGCUGUGGGUAAUGUGCAUUUCAGAAAGAUUUGGGCAAAUUUCCGCAGAACUAAUUCAGAGAACAUGAUAUAGUGUGUCUUGACUCUUUGUAGAGGGACAUGCUCUGUAGGACCAGAGAAACACACACAGCUGAGUCUUUACAACCAUAUCCGGUUUCCAUGUGGUUCUCUUUCUUUUCUGGUUCCCAUAACACUUGUCUGGGUUCAAAUAUAUUUAGCUUUUGAUUCUAUUCAGCAUAGGGAAUUGCUUCUAUUAUUCACUCAGUUCGUUUUAGUUAUAUUUUCUCAUUCCUCACAAGGCUGUGAGAUUCUUAGGGACAAGGGGAGUGCUUUUUUUUUCUUUUGUAUUAUUCAAAGCCUUGUAGUGUGGUGAGCAAAUGGUAGGUGUAGAGGGACAGGGGUGCAAAUGGUGACUUCAAAGGAGAAAACCAGUUUGCCUGCCUGCCUUCUUUCCCUCCUUCCUUCUUUCCUCCUUCUUUCCAUCCUUUCUUCUUUCCUUUCUCCCUUCUUGUCUCCUUCCUUCCAAUAUUUAUCAAAA